GACGAACGCUGGCGGCGUGCCUAAUACAUGCAAGUAGAACGCUGAAGGAGGAGCUUGCUUCUCUGGAUGAGUUGCGAACGGGUGAGUAACGCGUAGGUAACCUGCCUGGUAGUGGGGGAUAACUAUUGGAAACGAUAGCUAAUACCGCAUAAUAGCAGUUGUUGCAUGAUAACUGUUUGAAAGGUGCAAUUGCACCGCUACCAGAUGGACCUGCGUUGUAUUAGCUAGUUGGUGGGGUAACGGCUCACCAAGGCGACGAUACAUAGCCGACCUGAGAGGGUGAACGGCCACCCUGGGACUGAGACACGGCCCAGACUCCCACGGGGGGCAGCGGGAGGGAAUCUUCGGCAAGGGACGGAAGUCUGACCGGGCAACGCCGGGGGAGGGAAGAAGGUUUUCGGAUCGUAAAGCUUUGUUGUAAGGAAAGAACGAGUGGGAGAGUGAAAAGUUCACCCUGGGCCGGUAUUUUACAAGAAAGGGACGGCUAACUACGU
rnacentral:rRNA from 1 species